rnacentral:lncRNA from 10 species
AAGAAAGACUUUUUUCUUCCAAGGGGCUCCCUCCUCCCUGCUGUGAAAUGGAACGCCUUUUGUCUGAACCCCACUUCCUUCGGUGCUGACACGCAACUGUUAGGUGUUUCCCAUGCCUGGCAAUCGUCCCUAAGCGCAAAGCUCGGGGGUGCUUUGGUGAUCCAUGAAAAGGCUGGCAGGCGUUCUUGUGAUAGGAAGAGGUUCUGUUUAUAACCAUAUAUGUCUCCCCAAGAGAGCCGAUGAAUAAUGUGCUCGCUCUGGCAGGGCUGUCUUUCCAUAGCUGCCCCAGGAGCCCUUUGGCCCCCACUGGCUGCUUCUCCUAUUUCAAUUUCCAUGUCCUCUCGGUUUUGUAACUCAAGGAGCUCCCCUGGCUUAGGAACAGCUGACAACUCCACAGCUCCCAGCAGUGGCACCUGGAGAAGGGGCGGAUGGGCACUGACUUGUGGGCGUGCUCUGGGGCACCCUGUCCCCAGCUGUCAUGAGUCAUUUACAAGCAAAGAACAAGCACAUGACCAAGGACAAAGAGGACAUCUUGACCAUGUGAUCGUCAAGCCAGUCUACCAAGGUUGA